UGGGGAAUAUUGCACAAUGGGGGAAACCCUGAUGCAGCCAUGCCGCGUGUGUGAAGAAGGCCUUCGGGUUGUAAAGCACUUUCAGCGAGGAGGAAAGGUUGAUGCCUAAUACGUAUCAACUGUGACGUUACUCGCAGAAGAAGCACCGGCUAACUCCGUGCCAGCAGCCGCGGUAAUACGGAGGGUGCAAGCGUUAAUCGGAAUUACUGGGCGUAAAGCGCACGCAGGCGGUAGGAUAAGUUAGAUGUGAAAGCCCCGGGCUCAACCUGGGAAUUGCAUUUAAAACUGUCCAGCUAGAGUCUUGUAGAGGGGUGUAGAAUUCCAGGUGUAGCGGUGAAAUGCGUAGAGAUCUGGAGGAAUACCGGUGGCGAAGGCGGCCCCCUGGACAAAGACUGACGCUCAGGUGCGAAAGCGUGGGGAGCAAACA
rnacentral:rRNA from 1 species